rnacentral:rRNA from 1 species
UACGUAGGGUGCGAGCGUUAAUCGGAAUUACUGGGCGUAAAGGGUGCGUAGGCGGUUUGCUAAGACAGGUGUGAAAUCCCCGGGCUUAACCUGGGAAUUGCGCUUGUUACUGGCAGGCUAGAGUGUGUCAGAGGGAGGUAGAAUUCCACGUGUAGCAGUGAAAUGCGUAGAGAUGUGGAGGAAUACCGAUGGCGAAGGCAGCCUCCUGGGAUAACACAUGACGCUGAGGCAACGAAAGCGUGGGGGAGCAAACAGG